UAUAUUCUAAAUAUAUUUACUGCGUGUUAAGGCGCUGUGCAUAGUCAAAAUAGGAUUGAUUCAACAGUGUUUUUGCCCAAUGUUUACAUGUUAGAGCAACAAAAAAUAUACAGGGUGUAACAAAAUACCCAUAUACAUCAAGAAGCACAGAAUAAUACAGGUUUAAUCAAAGUUUCAGCCUAAAAUUCGUUUAAAAAAAAAAAUUGGUACCAAAUUCUUGGUGUCGUAUGAUUCUUGAUUUUAAAUCAUACAAACGUGUCACAACACUACCGGGGUCGAGACAUUUCUUCUGUAAAUCUGAUCGCCUAGUACCUAUCUACCUAAUUUUGAUUCGCGCGGCGACGGUGCGUGCGUAAGUACAUUAGACGCUUUGUUUGCCUAGUACCUGUAUGCUAAAAUUUGCCUUGUAAAUAUUAAAAUGAAAAAUUUAUUUAACUUACAUUUUUAAAGAUGUGGUUCGAUGUGACUAUACCGUGAUAGUGAAUACACAACACACUUUUGCUUGCUUGUAAAACAAAUCUCAAUCACAAUCACAACAAUAACAAACACUUUCUGAAUGCUACGUUAAAUCUUCUCUCUUACAAACACUGUUACAAUACCAACGAAAGAUAAUUCAACUCCACGUUAAAGAAAUUGAUAAUAUUUUUUCGUAAAAACUAAAAUUCUAAUAUUUUUCCGAAAUAUUGAGAUGACUGAAACGUUCAUGAUGGCAAUAUUAUGUCAACACUGACAACUAGGGCUGGCGAUCUGAGAUCUUCUUCCCGCGAACCAAAAAGGUUGAUACCUAUUUUAAAUCGGUUCACAUUAUUAUUGAAUCGGUAAUGUAAAUUAGAUUAUGAAUGAUAUUUCUACGUAUUCCACUGUAAAGAAAUGCAUUGAAUAGUUAAAAUACAAUAUGUGUGUUUUAUCUACUAAUUUAAUCAAAUACGUAUUUUAGAAAUAAACGUCGAAUUUGACUAAAGACUCUUAUUAGCCCUGAAAAAGUUAACAACUUAGCCUUAGUUUACAAGUAACUAAUGUAGUUACAAAUAAUAUUUGAUUUUUACAGUGUCCUUUUAACUAUUAUGAAAUACAUCGAACCAAUAACGAUUAAUCGUAUUUUCUUUAAAUCGGUUUCUUUCGGGGCGAGUCCCCCAUCCUGAAUGACAAUUCCUAUGUACAGAGAGAGAGAGACAUCCAAAGAGAGUAGCCAACAGACGAUGACAACAUUUCCAUCUCUCUCACAUAAUACACUCAAGCAACGCGUGCGACUGGGAAACAAGAUUUUAUCGUAUUUAAUAUGAAAUUAGGGAUCUGUGAGUGCGCAACCGUUUUCCAAUUUAUGUAAUGACAAUUCUCGUUUCUUAUGUAUACCUAGUACUUUUGCAUGUUUUUCUCAUUAAGACUAAGCUAAUUUGCUGAGUUUUUUUUUAAAUUCUGUCAAUCUCUCUAAACGCCUCCAAGUAAAAAUGUCCAUUAAAAAUUUAUUCUAGAACGGAACCCACUGGGAGUUUUUUGUACUAGGACACACAUAACUUGCAUAGAAUUGAUAUUUAGGGUUCAUUUGAACACAAUAUUAUGAUAUGAAACCCUUUUUCGUAACGUCUUCAAUGUAUGUAAUAACAAUUCUCGUUUCUUAUGGGUUCCUAGUAUUUUUGCAUGUUUUUCUCAUUAAGACUAGGUAAGGUAGGUAAGAGUAGGUACCCACAAUAGUGAAAGAGGAGACAGAGAUUGACAGAAGUUCACGAAAAGCUCAGCAAGUUAGUUUAGUCUUAAUGAGAAAAACAUGCAAAGGUUAAGAUUACUUCACUCAUUUGUUUGAGACCAUCUUAUCUAAGUAAAACAAAUGGUAUCUCUUUGUAUCACGUAAAGACCAGAUAGAUACCUAAUUAUUUCAUAUCCUUACGGAUACCCUUGUCUAUGUACUUAGCGUAAUUUAAAAUUGGUGCGGGUCGCACGAUUCGCAUGCUAGCGGGUCUAUUAAGAAAAAAAAAUAGGCAUCGCGCUAACGGACACGUAUGCGGCCGAUGAGAUUUUCUUUACAAAUGUCCGGUGCUCUCUCGAGGCACUCGCUCGAGGUUUUGGCUUAGUCUGUCUACAAACAUAUUCUUUGUUUUUUAUGAUAACCUUUCUUCUUAAAACAAUUUCCAGAAUAAAAAAAAAUGUUACGAAAAAUAAAUAUCCGGAACCCUUUUUUCUUUAUUCGAAGAAAUACCAGGAGUAAGCGUUUUGAUUUUAUUUAUACCUAAUGCGCUGUAACAAGGUGCGGCUGACAGAUGCCAGUAUGACGUUGACGUCUCUCUUUAGGGAUGGACAUUAGAAAAAUCUUUUUUUAUCGCUAUCGAUACUCGCAGCAUACAUUUAAUUCUCUUUAAUUUUUUUAUUAAAUGUGUGUGUUAUUUAGUU